UUAUCAUCUUGGCGGCAUUCAUGCUUAUGUCCCACACUGCUGGGCUCACCAUCUUCUUUCUUUUCUUAGAGCUCAUCAUUGAGGUGGUUGCCAUACCAAGCCUAUGUCGGAAAUUAUGUCCUAAAGCCAAUCGUUUGAUGAUUGUGCUAAUUAUAAAUAUAUAUGAAUUAAUAAAUAAUAAAAAUUAUUUAAUAUUUUUCAUCACAAG
rnacentral:lncRNA from 1 species